rnacentral:lncRNA from 1 species
AUGAUGAAGUUAAUCAAUUUGACAUCCCACGGAGGGCCGGGUGUGUCUGCGCCAGAAGAGCUGCUGCACAGCCUCUCCCCAGAGCCCGACUCCUGGGGAGCAGGGGGGUCUCUGCCUCUCCUGUCUCCAAAGGAGAACUGGGGUAGAAAAGGGAGGAUGGACAGGGCAAUACAAAUACGAAAAGAUGGGAGGAAGCCCAGUCCCUGCACUUUUCUUCCCCAGGCCGUGCUGAGCCCCAAGAGAGAGCAAACCCCAGUGUUCCUCCAAGAUGGAAACUCUGUUGCUCACACUGGAGUACAAUGGUGCUAUCUCAGCUCACUGCAAUCUCCGCCUCCUGGGUUCAAAUGA